rnacentral:rRNA from 2 species
CAGCCGCGGUAAUACGUAAGGACCGAGCGUUGUCCGGAAUCAUUGGGCGUAAAGGGUACGUAGGCGGCUAGAAAAGUUAGAAGUCAAAGGCUAUAGCUCAACUAUAGUAAGCUUCAAAAACUAUUUAGCUUGAGAAAUGGAAGGGGAAGUGGAAUUCCUAGUGUAGCGGUGGAAUGCGCAGAUAUUAGGAAGAAUACCGGUGGCGAAGGCGACUUUCUGGCCAUUAUCUGACGCUGAGGUACGAAAGCGUGGGUAGCAAACAGGAUUAGAUACCCUGGUAGUCCACGCCGUAAACGAUGAGUGUUAGGUGUCUGGAGUCAAAUCUGGGUGCCGCAGCAAACGCAUUAAACACUCCGCCUGGGGAGUACGCACGCAAGUGUGAGACUCAAAGGAAUUGACGGGGACCCGCACAAGCAGCGGAGCAUGUGGUUUAAUUCGACGCAACGCGAAGAACCUUACCAAGUCUUGACAUAUUACAGAAGCAGUUAGAGAUAAUUGCUUACAUCUUCGGAUGACUGUAUACAGGUGGUGCAUGGUUGUCGUCAGCUCGUGUCGUGAGAUGUUGGGUUAAGUCCCAUAACGAGCGCAACCCCUAUUGCUAGUUACCAUCAUUAAGUUGGGGACUCUAGUAAUACUGCCGGUGACAAACCGGAGGAAGGUGGGGAUGACGUCAAAUCAUCAUGCCCUUUAUGACUUGGGCUACACACGUGCUACAAUGGCAGGUACACAGGGAAGCAAGGCUGCGAAGUUAAGCGAAACUCAAAAAGCCUGUCCCAGUUCGGAUUGCACUCUGCAACUCGAGUGCAUGAAGUUGGAGUUGCUAGUAAUCGUGGAUCAGAAUGCCGCGGUGAAUGCGUUCCCGGG